rnacentral:rRNA from 1 species
UACGGAGGGGGCUAGCGUUGUUCGGAAUUACUGGGCGUAAAGCGCACGUAGGCGGCUUUGUAAGUCAGGGGUGAAAUCCUGGAGCUCAACUCCAGAACUGCCUUUGAUACUGGAGAGCUCGAGUCCGGAAGAGGUGAGUGGAACUGCGAGUGUAGAGGUGAAAUUCGUAGAUAUUCGCAAGAACACCAGUGGCGAAGGCGGCUCACUGGUCCGGUACUGACGCUGAGGUGCGAAAGCGUGGGGAGCAAACAGGG